GACGAACCGAGCGAACGUUGUUCGGAAUCACUGGGCUUAAAGGGCGCGCAGGCGGCCCUUGAAGUCAGGCGUGAAAGCCCCGGGCUCAACCUGGGAGGUGCGCUUGAUACUCGAGGGCUUGAGUGCGGGAGAGGAGAGUGGAAUUCCCAGUGUAGAGGUGAAAUUCGUAGAUAUUGGGAAGAACACCGGUGGCGAAGGCGGCUCUCUGGACCGUAACUGACGCUGAGGCGCGAAAGCGUGGGGAGCAAACAGG
rnacentral:rRNA from 1 species